rnacentral:rRNA from 1 species
UACGAAGGGGGCUAGCGUUGCUCGGAAUCACUGGGCGUAAAGCGCACGUAGGCGGACUCUUAAGUCAGGGGUGAAAUCCUGGAGCUCAACUCCAGAACUGCCCUUGAUACUGAAGAUCUUGAGUUCGGGAGAGGUGAGUGGAACUGCGAGUGUAGAGGUGAAAUUCGUAGAUAUUCGCAAGAACACCAGUGGCGAAGGCGGCUCACUGGCCCGAUACUGACGCUGAGGCACGAAAGCGUGGGGAGCAAACAGGG